CAGUGUGCCUAUGAAAACAAGGAAACUUCAGAAAAGAGAAGUGAUAAGGACUGUGCUGGUGUACUUGUUUGCCCUUUGCCAAGCAGAACCAGGAGGAUGCAGGCACAAUUCAACCAUGCAGCCUGGGAAAGCCCUCUGAAAUUCCUGGCCAUGCAGUUUUCUGGUGCCUUCAUAAUUAUGUUGUGGAACAGACUCUGCUGGGACAUCACAACAAGUCACAACAUCUUUGAGCAACCCGUAAUUUGCAGCGUUUUAAUGGUAAUGCAGCUGUAUGAUGAAAAAGUUUCGUGGACCCACUGGCACCACUGACACCCAUCUGGGGCACACUCAGCUGCCUGAAUUCUCAGUUUUUGCCACGCUGGUGAACAGGGGAGGAGAAGAGGAGCUGCCCCAGCAGAGGACAAGACCCCAGAGGAUGUGAAAUUGUGGCUGGAUGAGCUGCACGUGGAGAAGCCAGAGAUGUCCCGCAGGAAUCCUUCCAUCUGGCACCAGAUAAAGCAGCCCUGUGGCUAUUCUGAUUUUCACUGGGGGGGUGGCUCCAAGCCAGGUGUUGGGUCUGAAGAGGCCUGAGCCCAACAAGUUGAGUAUAAAGACUGUGAUGGUAAAGAGGAAGGCAAAGCAGAGGUGCUUAUCCAAGUUUAACUCAGAAUAUUGGGCCAUAAAAUGAGCUCUGUAUAGCACUUAGCUAAAACAGAAUACCUGAGGGAUUAUAUAUCUUUUCCCUUGAAUGUUGGCAUGGACAGAAAAUGCUGUUGUGGAAGAGUUAUUUCAUUGCAUGACAAUUUAAAUGAAUGUUGUGGAAGCACUUACACAUGUUUCUUUGGAUGUUACCAUUCCCUUUGCUUUGAUAAGAUGCAGGCAAAAUAGCUUUCAUAACUUUAAAAAUCCCUUUUCACUCGUAUUUUAUAUAAGCCCUGUAAAAUUGAGAGUACAAUAUGUUUCCUCACUGCCAUCAAUCUCUCUUAUAUGUGUCUGUGGAUAGAAAUACACAGAAACACCUGUGUUUGCUAUUCUGAGAUCUCACAUUUAGGCUGAUACCUUGCCACCAUUUUCCACCAGAUUAAUAUCUUUUUUUUUUAAUACACACACAUGUAUAUGUAUGCUAGUAUAAGUAUACUUAAAUAUAUAAAAUUGCAUGAAAAUCCAAUAUCAGUUUGAAAUAAAAUUGAAAGACAUAA